CAAAGACGUAGCUCUUCAGAUGAAGAUUUAUCAUGGGACCAAUGUAAUGGACACACUUUGGUGCCAAAACCUGCAUUCCUCUACUGCGGUCACACUUCAAGAAGGACUUCAAAACGGACUUUACCGUAAAGAAUUUGAAUUCAAGAACAACAAAUCACCAGCUGACAGGUUGGGGAUUAGCAGGACUGCCUUCAAAGCCAAGUCUAUGUGAAGAGCCUCUCAGUGGUUGCUGCAGUGUACCCAAGAGGCAUCGGGAGCUACUCCUUUACCACUACACUAUGUCUCCCUGUCAUGGCUUUUGCGCCAUCAGUACAGAUACCAACACAUCUUGACCAGCAAAGUCUAUUUUAUGUCCAUGACUUUAAAAAUAUCCUCUCCUGUUGUCCUGGUUUCCAGUGGUUUGCAGAAGAGGAUGUCCUCCUUAAUUGACCCCCCAUAAACAUAACUGCCAUGUGUCAGGCCCUGUAACGCAUAGAAUUCACUGGAUUGUAUG
ensembl:lncRNA